CCCGAACGGACGAACGCAAACCCCGGUCUCCGCCUGCCCCAAUCCCCACUCCAGGCCGUCAUCCCCAACCCACCAUGAGGACGAGGAUGCCGAGCUCAGGCGGCGGCGCUGGUCCGGGCCUCCGAGGGAUCAGACCGUCCUCCGUUGACCUCUGCUUCCUCUUCCUCAAGACCUUGGCCGCCUGGUGCAGGGGAGACCGCAGCUCCGCGCUCGUAGGCCUGCCCAAUCCUCCUCUUGCUCCUCGCGCUGCUCUUCCCUUCCCCCGCCCCCGCCCUCGCCAGUGCCGCCUCGCUGUCCCUGCUCGCGGCCAUCUCCAACGCCUCCUCCCAUGCCUACGCCCACCCCGGAUGCCACCUUCUUUGACGCGACGUCGUCGACACCGUCGCCAACAAGUACGGCUGGGACCCCGACACGGAGGUCCGGGUCUGGCCGCUCAACACCGAGGGCGCGCUCGUCGGUGCCGUUCAGCGGUACGAGUUCCGCGCCGGUGCGGGGGGCGCCGCGGUCGCGCUGGCACGGGCCUCUGACGAGGCCGUCAACUUGAGCCGCCCCGACGCCCCCGCGGUGGAGGAGGUGGUCUGGCCCGACGGGGUCGACUUCGUCGCCGGCGACGGCGCCCUGGCGUUCGGCACCGGCGUCAGGGACAUGGACAUAGUAGGCCCGUUCGAGCUGGUGGUCUCCGAUGGCGCUGACGGGGGCCUCGCAGAGCUCCAGCUGCCGUCGGUGUCCUGUCUCCGGCGUUCUUGAGCACCAUUGGGUCGAGGAAGGAGAAGCCAUCCUAUGGACUAGAACAGUUUGUGUGAGAUUUUAUUUUCUGGUGGGUUUAUUAGCUGGCUUGGAAAUGCUCCCUUGACAUUGUCCCAUUCAUCAACACAAAGAUUGUCAGCCUUUACCCAAUUGCAAGAUCUUUCAGAAUAAAAAAGGGGAGACUGAGACCGGUAGAAAAGAGAUUCUUCAGUACACAAUAUAUGCAUCUGUUGAUUUUGCAAUUGUCCAGCGGCGAGGCCAACCAGGGCGUACAGGGGCGGAGUCAGCAGCUUGGUAGUGCGUCCAUUUACGCGUGGCGGCCUGCGGAUUUGGGUGCAUGACAACUGGCCAACAUGUUGUGUGGGUGUGAUGUUGUCGGCAUGUUGUACAUGAGUGUUGGCUGCCAGAGGCGCGCGUGGCUGACCGAUAUGUGUGUGGCUCGACGACAAGUGUUGUCGUCAUGAGGCCAGACGACUUGUUGUGCCAAUCCGGUGAGAGCAUCCAAUAGCGGGAAGUCAUCCGAAGAAUCAUGUCCAGUGAGUAGUCCAGCUCCAGCAACAAGACCACAUCUGGUUUCCACCAACAAGCUGGACCAGCGGCAUUGUACUCGGGAGUCUAUGAAAGAAGAAAUUAAUGACAUUGUGAGUUCAUUGGAUGAAAAAGAUGAGGAGG